rnacentral:rRNA from 1 species
UGAUUAUUUAAUUUUAUUUAUUUGUUUGCUUUGAGUUAUAUUUAAGUUAUUUUAUUUUUUUUAAGUUUAGUAUAGAUAGAAUUAUUUUUUUUUAUUAUAGUAUAUUUUUAAUGUAAGUGGUUAUUUUUUAUGUUUUUUAAGAAUUUUUUUUUAUUUUACCUUUUGUAUCAGGGUUGAUUAAUUAAUUUUUUUUUAUUAAUGGUUCCCGAAUUGGAAGGAUUUACUUCAAUAUGAUUUUUAAUGUUUUAUAUUUAUUAUGAAUAUUGUGGUGGUAGUUAUAUUCUACACGUUUUUUAUGAUAUCUGGUUUCCUAAGAUUAAAUUUAAUUUUAAUGGGAAUUUAAAUUUUAUUUUUUUUUAUUUAAUUUUUAUUUUUAGGUUAUUUUUUAGGGGUCAAGCUCUGAGGAUUAUACUAUAAUUUAUAUUUUGUUUAUUUUUUUGUAGGCUUGAAAUCAGUCUUUAUGUUAAUGUACGUUUUAUUUUAAUUUUAUAUUUAAUUAUUUUUUUUUUGAUUUAGUUUUUGUAUUAGGAUUUUGUCUUUAAUUUCUUUUGUUAAGAAAUAAUGAUUUAAUUAGUAUAUAUUUGUUGUUUUAUUGGUUUAUUAUUGAUAAUUUAUUUAAAGGAACUCGGCAAUUUUUUAUGGUUUCCGCCUGUUUAUCAAAAACAUCUCUUUUAGUAAUUUAUUAUAGGUUGGCCCUGCUCACUGAGGUUUUAAAGAGCCGCGGUACUUUGACUGUGCAAAGGUAGCAUAAUCAUUAGUGUAUUAAUUGUGUACUGGUAUGAAAGGGUUGACGAGAAAUUAACUGUCUCUUUUUGAUUUGUAGAAUUUUAUUUUUUAGUUAAAAAGCUGGGAUUUAUUUUUAGGACGAUAAGACCCUAUAGAGCUUAAUUUUUUAAGGCUUUAUGAUUUGGGGUUAUUUUUUUUGUUUUGUUUUAUAUAAGUUUUGUUGGGGUGAUGUGAAUAAUUAUUUAACUGUUCAUUUUUUUUUUCAUUGAUUUAUGUUUUUAUGAUCCUGUAUUAUAAAUUAUAAAAUAAAGUUACCUUAGGGAUAACAGCGUAAUCAUCUUUGAAAGUGCUUAUUGACAAGGUGGAUUGCAACCUCAAUGUUGGAUUAAGGUUAUUAUUUGGGUGCAGGUGCUUAUUGUUAUUGGUCUGUUCAACCAUUAAAAUCUUACAUGAUCUGAGUUCAGACCGGUGUAAGCCAGGUUGGUUUCUAUCCAAAAAUUUUUUUUGUUUUUUAGUACGAAAGGACCGUUGAUGUUGAUUAUUUUAUUUUUUUUAGGUUACUAUU